GCACGCAUCAAAUUAUUGAUACAGCAGCAUCAGCACCGGAAGGAAAGUAAACCCUAAGUAAGAUGCCGAAGAAGAUGGGGGUGAACACAAAGGCGGAGGCAGCGAGGGCGCGUAAGAGCGCGGCGGAAACGGAUCGCAAGGAGAAGGAGACUCGACAAAAGGAGGAUCAGUACUGGCAAGAGGCGGAGGGCUCUAAGUCACGAGCCGCAAAGAAGAAGGAGGACGAGGCCGAAAAGAGGGCCGAAGCAGCCACGCGUCGGGCGGAGGCGCGUAGGUUGGCGGAGCAGGAGGAGAAGGAGCUGGAAAAGGCGAUGAAAAAGGUGGACAAGAAGGCGAACCGGGUGUCGAUACCCGUGCCGAAGGUGACAGAAGUGGAGCUGAGGCGGCGGCGGGAAGAGGAGCAGGCGGAGGCUGAGAAGAAGGCGGAGGAGGUGAAGAAGCGGCAGAGUCGCACUGCUGCAGAGGAUGAGUACGAAAGAAUGGUCCUCGUGUCCAACACUAAUCGCGACGAUUCUAUCAUCGAAGCGAGAUCUUUGGAUGAUGCCAUCGCUCAGAUGACUGUUGCCGACAACUUGCCCCCCGAUCGCCAUCCCGAGAGGCGCCUCAAGGCCUCCUUCAAGGCAUUCGAAGAAGCCGAACUCCCUAAGCUGAAAGAAGAGAAACCGGGUCUUACUCAUAAUCAGUACAAGGACUUGAUAUGGAAGCUAUGGAAGAAAUCUCCUGACAAUCCUCUUAAUCAAAUUGCAGAGUGAAUGAUCAGCUGCAGCUGGAUUGUAACCGAUGCAACACCCUCUUCGAGUGGGAAUUUUCAUGGCGUGGUGGAUCCAUUUCUAGUUGAGUAUCAAAUAGUUCACCUUCUGGACAUGCAGACAUUCUUGCCAUCAACUUUGAAUUGGACUGCUCUGCUCGGGAUAAGGGGUUUCUAAACUACAUUGUAUUUAAAUUCAACAAAUUAUGAAUGUUUAAACAAAGCUUGCAAUGAAAUGCCAACAAACUUGCAAAUGAUGGUGUUGACAAAGCCAUUGGGUAAUGGGUCCAUAGAGUACGCAUUGGCCUCACUACCUCUGAUGAUCCUCAUGACUCCCAUGCCUGUGAAACAACCCUUAGCAAAGCUAAGUCACACUUUGAACUGCAUUAAGAUCAUUGUCUUUGUCACUUAGACUCUAAACCUUAGCAUAUUCUUCUUGAUAACCUACUGGUCUAACUGUCCUUAUUUUUUGUGCAUCGACUGUAUACUUCAUGCAGAAGAAUACAUCGACUAAGCUAUUUUCUAAUGUAUAUUCUCACCAAAGAUAUUGUACAAGGAAAAACGUUUUCCUUAGUUUCAAUCAUUUAAGAGGCACGCAACCUUGACCAUCAGAAAAGAAUUUUUUGACAUCAGAAUAGCUUUUGUUAGUAUCACUGUUCCUUACCUUGAGGCCAGAUCGAAACAGACGCUGGUUCUAUUUUGAUCUCAUAGUUAUUAGUACAAGGAAUAGAUGAACGAAUAUUUGUCAUUUCUCUUUUCUUGUGUUUCGAAGUUACUAUUCUAGUAAAAAGACAUCUGGGGAAACUUGAUUAAAGCAUUCAAGUGUGUCGAUAAUGGAUAAAUUAUCAUCAAUGGUCAACCUGAGAUUGCAAUAAUGUUUUGGCAAGAAAUCCUAGCAUGAUCUAGGGUUUACAAGUUGCCAAAAAAUUUGACAGUUACAUCCUUUAAUUAAGGCUGCUGAUUCUUAGCGUGGGUACUGGAUGCUUGAUGCUUGCAGAAACAAAUGGGUUUGUGGCAUCUCGUAGAUACUGAAUAUGGAUUUCAAACAAAUAGUUAUUAUAUCCUAUCGAUCUUCUCACUAGUCCCUGCAAAUUGUCUGACUAUCCCUGCCUUUGUAAGUUGCGCAUUGCUUGCAGUGCAACAACAAACGAAGUUUGUAAUCUUUAGAAUUUAGGGUAACUUAUGUAGGUUUUUUGAAGUGUACAUGUUCUGUUUUCAUCCUUCAGUCCACAAUUUGAUGUUGCAGCGAUAACUACAUUGAAGCAACUUUCAAUCGAGAUCAUCUUGGAUUGUGUCUUAAUUGAUGGUCCAUCUCGUUGGAUUUUGACGAUUGGUUGAUUUACUUGAUCGUCUUGGAUUGUGCUACUAUGGGGCUUUGUUCAAUAACCCAACGCAAGAAAAUUAUGAUAGCUUAAUGUCAAACAGGAUUUCCCUAACAACUAUUUAUGAAUAUAUAAUGUGAACAAGAUUCUCAUGUGGUAAGAAAUGAGAAAUCCUGUUCAUAUCCCAACCUGUUUGACAUGUAACCGUCGUAUUUCUCUUGAUUGAGUUUUGAAUAAAGUCUAGAUAGCACAACCCCAAGAUAAUCAAGCAACAAAGGGUUCGGUCAUCAAUUAAGAUGCAUCAUCAACUUGGUCAGAGAAUCUAUGUAUGUUUGUGUCUUAUUUGAAAGUUGCUUUACACAGCUAGGAACUUCAAGUCUUGGAAUGAAGGUGAUAAGAUAGAGAACAUGGGCACAUAGUUGCUUAUUGUCAUGGAUUGUAGUAGGUAUUUGCUUUACUGCAUUAGGCAUCAUUACUAUGGUUUUAAUAUGGAUAGAAUUUUGAUCUUAUGUUGAAGUAGUCGAGUUUUUGUUUGAAUGUAGUGUAGCAAUAUCAACUUUGUUAAUAUUGUUCAUUUAUAUUGGAUUAAGUUAAAACAG